UCUCCGUAGGUGAACCUGCGGAGGGAUCAUCACAGAGUUCAUGCCCUACCGGGUAGAUCUCCCACCCUAUGUUAUUAUUACUUUGUUGCUUUGGCGGGCCGUUAGGCUCCGGCCCGACCACCGGCCCCGGCUGGUAAGCGCCCGCCAGAGGACCCAAAACCCUGAAUAUUAGUGUCGUCUGAGUACUAUAUGAUAGUUAAAACUUUCAACAACGGAUCUCUUGGUUCUG
rnacentral:misc_RNA from 1 species